rnacentral:rRNA from 1 species
UACGAAGGGGGCUAGCGUUGUUCGGAAUUACUGGGCGUAAAGCGCACGUAGGCGGAUUGUUAAGUUAGGGGUGAAAUCCCAGGGCUCAACCCUGGAACUGCCUUUAAUACUGGCAAUCUCGAGUCCGAGAGAGGUGAGUGGAAUUCCGAGUGUAGAGGUGAAAUUCGUAGAUAUUCGGAGGAGCACCAGUGGCGAAGGCGGCUUACUGGCUCGGUACUGACGCUGAGGUGCGAAAGCGUGGGGAGCAAACAGG